rnacentral:rRNA from 1 species
CGAAACGUACGGAUNUUGGGUUAAGGGUGCGUAGGUGGGCUGAUAAGUCAGCGGUGAAAUCUUGGAGCUUAACUCCGAAACUGCCGUUGAAACUGUCAGUCUUGAGUGUGAACGAGGUAGGCGGAAUUCGUAGUGUAGCGGUGAAGUGCAUAGAUAUUACGAAGAACUCCGAUAGCGCAGGCAGCUUACCAGGCCACGACUGACACUGAAGCACGAAAGUGUGGGUAUCAAACAGGAUUAGAUACCCUGGUAGUCCACACAGUAAACGAUGAAUACUGACUGUUUGCGAUAUACAGUAAGCGGUUAAGCGAAAGCGUUAAGUAUUCCACCUGGGGAGUACGCCGGCAACGGUGAAACUCAAAGGAAUUGACGGGGGCCCGCACAAGCGGAGGAACAUGUGGUUUAAUUCGAUGAUACGCGAGGAACCUUACCCGGGCUCGAACGGCUAUAGAAUAAGUGUGAAAGCAUUUAGCCAGCAAUGGCUGUAGUCGAGGUGCUGCAUGGUUGUCGUCAGCUCGUGCCGUGAGGUGUCGGCUUAAGUGCCAUAACGAGCGCAACCCUUACCGUUAGUUACCAUCAGGUUAAGCUGGGGACUCUAACGGGACUGCCGCCGUAAGGUGAGAGGAAGGUGGGGAUGACGUCAAAUCAGCACGGCCCUUACGUCCGGGGCUACACACGUGUUACAAUGGGUGGGACAGAAGGCUGCUACCUGGCAACAGGAUGCUAAUCCUUUAAACCCACUCCCAGUUCGGAUCGAAGUCUGCAACCCGACUUCGUGAAGCUGGAUUCGCUAGUAAUCGCGCAUCAGCCAUGGCGCGGUGAAUAC